rnacentral:rRNA from 1 species
GGCCUGGCUGGGUGGUCUUGCCGCAAGGUAAGCACUGCUUUGGUCGGGUCUUUCCUUCUAGGGAACUAGCGUGCCCUUAACUGGGUGCGUUAGGGAUCUAGGACUUUUACUUUGAAAAAAUUAGAGUGUUUAAAACAGGCUUAUGCUUGAAUACAUUAGCAUGGAAUAACGGAAUAGGAC